rnacentral:rRNA from 1 species
UACGGAGGGUGCAAGCGUUAUCCGGAAUUAUUGGGCGUAAAGCGUCCGUAGGUGGUUAUUCAAGUCUUUUGUUAAAUAGUGGAGCUCAACUCCAUAGAGGCGGAAGAAACUGAGUAACUUGAGUGCGGUAGGGGUAGAGGGAAUUCCAGGUGUAGCGGUGAAAUGCGUAGAUAUCUGGAAGAACACCAGUGGCGAAGGCGCUCUACUGGGCCGUAACUGACACUGAGGGACGAAAGCUAGGGGAGCGAAAGGG